UCUCGCCUGCCGCCAUGUAAACGUUCUUUGCUCCUGCUUCGUCUUCUGCCGUGAUUGUGAGGCCUCCCCAGCCAUGUGGAACUACUCAUCACUCACUGCAGAUGUUACUUUAAGACAUUCUGGAGCAGCGUCAUGUGCAGGUGCGUAGUGCCUCCGCCCAUCUCUCUCUUGCUCCUGGUCUCAUCGUGACGGGCCUGGUCCUGCCUCACUUUAUGCCACGACUAAGAGCUCCCUGAGGCCUCUCCAGAAGCAGAUAUCACUAUGCUUCCUACACAGCCUGCAGAACCGAACAAUAAGGAAGUGAGUGCUUUUGUAAUUCCUGAACAACUGUGUCUUACACUUACUAAGGCAAUCUGGGUGUUAUGAAAGAUGUAGACCAACAGAAACACUCAUACCUUUCUGGUGACAAUAAAACUUUGUACAUUUAUUUUGGAAAACCCUAUUUUAGUGCCUUAUAAAAUUGAGCAUUAGAUAAUUAUGGCCCAGAUGCUCCAACGAGAAGUGUAUACUUAAGAGAUGAAUGCCUGUGUGCACCAGAAGACAUGCACAGACAGGCAUGAUUAUAACAACUUUAUUCAUAACAGACCUGAAUUGCAUCAAAUGUUCAACAAAUGAAUAGAUAAACAAAUUAUGCUAUAUAUUAAUAGGAAGGAAUACUACUCAAAAAAAAUAGGCAAACUGCAGACAACAUUUUAAAAUAUAUUGAGUUAAAGAAAUGAGAUACAGAAAAGUACAUACUGCAUGAUACAAUUUAUAUGAAAUUCAAAGACAAGCAAAUGAAUCUAUGGUGAUAGAUCUGGAAGUCAGUAACUGAAAAAGAGCAUGAAAGUAUCUUGGGUCAGGGCAAUGCUAGGUGUCUUGAGAAACAUAGUAAUUUCCUUGGUGUAUAGAAUUGUAAUAUAUCAUCAAGCUCAAGAAUAUGUCUUAUUCAAUAACAAUAACAAAACAAGUAAAAAAA
rnacentral:lncRNA from 1 species